rnacentral:rRNA from 1 species
GUACACGCUGUGACUAGCAUAUCAAUAAGCGGAGGAAAAGAAACUAACAAGGAUUCCCCUAGUAACGGCGAGUGAAGCGGGAAGAGCUCGAAUUUGAAAUCUUAAAGGGUUUCCCUUUACGAAUUGUAGUUUAAAGAAGUGUUUUCUGUUGAGGUUUUGGUAAAAGUUCUUUGGAAUAGGACAUCAUAGAGGGUGAGAAUCCCGUAUUUGACCUUUACUUUCAACUUUGUGAUACACUUUCAAAGAGUCGGAUUGUUUGGGAAUGCAGUCCAAAAUGGGUGGUAAAUUCAUCUAAAGCUAAAUAUUGGCGAGAGACCGAUAGCGAACAAGUACCGUGAGGGAAAGAUGAAAAGAACUUUGAAAAGAGAGUUAAACAGUACGUGAAAUUGUCAAAAGGGAAGCGUUUGACACCAGUGUUGUUUUUCUGAAAAUCAAUUAAAGAACUGUUUAUGCUAAGCUGUUUAGACUUUAUCAGCUAUCUGUUUAGUUUUGAGCUUUUCUUUAAUGCACUUUUCAGUUAACAAGUCAACAUCAAUUUCUUUUGCUGUAAAAAAGCUUGAGGAAGGUGGCUUGAGAUUCCGUCUUAAGUGUUUAUAGCCUCUUGCCUAUGCAGUCGGAGAGAUUGAGGUCUGCAGCGUAGAUCCUUCGGGGCUAAAUGCAUUUGUGCUAAGUUAUAGCAUUUUAUAGACAACUUGUUGACUAUGAUUUGUCUUGUAGCUUACUCGCUUAUGUUAUUUUACCUACGCUUAGGAUGUUGAAGAUGUAGCACAUCAU